rnacentral:rRNA from 1 species
UACGUAGGGUGCAAGCGUUGUCCGGAAUUAUUGGGCGUAAAGAGCUCGUAGGCGGUCUGUCGCGUCUGCUGUGAAAACUCAGGGCUUAACCCUGAGCUUGCAGUGGGUACGGGCAGACUAGAGUGCGGUAGGGGAGACUGGAAUUCCUGGUGUAGCGGUGAAAUGCGCAGAUAUCAGGAGGAACACCGGUGGCGAAGGCGGGUCUCUGGGCCGAGUA